rnacentral:tRNA from 1 species
CGGGCCAUAGCGCAGUUGGUAGCGCGCAUGCAUGGGGUGCAUGAGGUCGUGGGUUCAAGUCCCACUGGCCCGA